UACGAGGGGGGCAAGCGUUGUUCGGAUUUAUUGGGCGUAAAGGGUGCGUAGGCGGUUUGGCAAGUCUUGUGUGAAAUCUUCGGGCUCAACCCGAAGCCUGCAUAAGAAACUGCCGGGCUUGAGUAUGGGAGAGGUGAGUGGAAUUUCCGGUGUAGCGGUGGAAUGCGCAGAUAUCAGGAGGAACACCGGUGGCGAAGGCGGGUCUCUGGGCCAUUACUGACGCUGAGGAGCGAAAGCGUGGGGAGCGAACAGG
rnacentral:rRNA from 1 species